rnacentral:lncRNA from 14 species
UUCCGCUCCCAAAUCCCCAAUUCCGCUCCCAAAUCCCCAAUUCCGCUCCCAAAUCCCCAAUUCCGCUCCUAAAUCCCCAAUUCCGCUCCUAAAUCCCCAAUUCCGCUGCUAAAACUGCUCCUAAAUCCGCAAUUCCGCUCCUAAAUCCCCAAUCCCGCUCCUAAAUCCCCAAUUCCGCUCCUAAAUCCCCAAUUCCGCUCCUAAAUCCCCAAUUCCGCUCCUAAAUCCGCAACUCCGCUCUUAAAACCAGUCCUAAAUCCCCAAUUCUGCUUCUAAAACCAAUCCUAAAACCAAUCCUACAAUCCGCUCCUAAACCCGCAAUUCCAUUCCUAAAACUGGUCCUAUGUGUUAGAACCGCUCCUAAAUCCUCAAUUCUGCUCCCAAAACCAAUCCUAAAACCCAUCCUAAAACCGUUCCUAAAUCCCCAAUUGCACUGCUAAAAGCGAUCCUAAAUCCGCCCUGAAAACCAGUUCUGAAUCCACAAUUUCACUCCUAAAACCGCUCCUAAAUCUGCAAUUCCGCUGCUAAAGCCGCUCCUGAAGCCGCUCGGCCCCGAGCCCACGCUGGGGCUCUCGAGGGUUUGCCGAUGCGCUUGCCCGGCGCCGUCGAGUCGGUGCCCAAAGCCAUGAGGGCGGCAUUGCCCUCGCCCAGAAUCCUGGGGAAAAUGGCAAAGAAGGGGUUAAAACCACAAGCAAAUUCCAGGCAAAAAUCGCACUUAAAACCGGUUUUAAGGGGUAAUCAUGGACUUAAAUUGGCAAUUUUGCUGUUAAAACCGGUCCCAAAGGAUAAAACUGGUACUAAGUGUUAAAACUGCUCCUAAAUCCGCAAUUCUGCUGCUAAAACCGCUCCUAAAUCCACAAUUCCGCUCCCAAAUCCGCAAUUCCGCUCCUAAAUCCGCAAUUCCGCUGCUAAAACCGCUCCUAAAUCUGCUCCAAGAGCCACUCCUAAAUCCGCAAUUCCGCUGCUAAAACUGCUCCUAAAUCCGCAAUUCCGCUGCUAAAUCCGCAAUUCCACUGCUAAAACCGCUCCUAAAUCUGCUCCAAGAGCCACUCCUAAAUCCGCAAUUCCGCUGCUAAAAUUGCUCCUAAAUCCGCAAUCCCGCUCCUAAAUCCGCAGUUCCGCUCCCAAAACCCAUCCUAAAACCGUUCCUAAAUCCCCAAUUGCACUGCUAAAAGCGAUCCUAAAUCCGCCCUGAAAACCAGUUCUGAAUCCACAAUUUCACUCCUAAACCCGCAAUCCCGCUCCUAAAUCCGCAAUUCCGCUCCUAAAUCCACUCCUAAAUCUGCAAUUCCACUGCUAAAAUUGCUCCUAAAUCUGCAAUCCUGCUCCUAAAUCCGCAAUCCCGCUCCUAAAUCCGCAAUCCCGCUCCUAAAUCCGCAGUUCCGCUCCUAAAUCCGCAGUUCCGCUCCUAAAUCCGCAAUUCCGCUCCUAAAUCCCCAAUUCCACUGCUAAAACUGCUCCUAAAUCCGCCAUCCCGCUCCUAAAUCCAAGCCUCCCUAAAUCCAUAAUUCCGGCUCCUAAAUCCGCGAAUCCCGGCUCCUAAAUCCGCAAUCCCGCUCCCAAAACCAAUCCUAAAACCGUUCCUAAAUCCCCAAUUGCACUGCUAAAAGCGAUCCUAAAUCCGCCCUGAAAACCAGUUCUGAAUCCACAAUUUCACUCCUAAACCCGCUCCUAAAUCCGCAAUCCCGCUCCUAAAUCCCCAAUCCCGCUCCUAAAUCCACUCCUAAAUCUGCAAUUCCACUGCUAAAAUUGCUCCUAAAUCCGCAAUUCUGCUCCUAGAUCCGCAAUUCCGCUCCUAAAUCCACAAUUCCGCUCCCAAAACCAAUCCUAAAACCGUUCCUAAAUCCCCAAUUGCACUUCUAAAAGCGAUCCUAAAUCCGCCCUGAAAACCAGUUCUGAAUCCACAAUUUCACUCCUAAACCCGCUCCUAAAUCUGCAAUCCUGCUCCUAAAUCAGCAAUCCCGCUCCUAAAUCCGCAAUCCCGCUCCUAAAUCCGCAAUCCCGCUCCUAAAUCCGCAAUCCCGCUCCUAAAUCCCCAAUUCCGCUCCUAAAUCCGCAAUCCCGCUCCUAAAUCCGCAAUCCCGCUCCUAAAUCCGCAAUCCCGCUCCUAAAUCCGCAAUCCCGCUCCUAAAUCCGCGCCUAAACCCAGAAAGCAGCAGUUGAAAGUGACCCUAACCACACAACCCCGCAGCCAAUCCCGCUCCUAACUGCUCAAACCGCUCCUAAAUCCGCAAUUCUGCUGCUCAAAUUUGG